rnacentral:tRNA from 1 species
GGCCCGUUGGUCAAGCGGUUAAGACACCGGCCUCUCACGCCGGAGACAGGAGUUCGAUUCUCCUACGGGUCACCA